GGCUUUGGGUGUCCGGUCCUCUCUGUCUUUACUGUGCCGAGCGUUUCUACCGCUACAUCCGGAGCAGCGACCCUGUAACCAUAGUGACAGUCAUCAGGCACCCCUGUGAUGUCAUCGAGUUGCGCAUGCUGAAGAAACACUUUAAAGCUCGACCUGGACAGUAUAUUGUUCUUAACUGUCCAGGUGUCUCUUCAUUUGAGAACCAUCCCUUCACACUCACAACGUGUCCCACAGAGAACAAGGAAACGUUUGGCGUUCAUCUCCGAGUUGUGGGAGACUGGACUGGUGGGCGGACACACACACACACUAUUAUGCUUACAUGUGCAGAAACGCAGAGAUAAAAGGACCGACAAAUAGAAACACGCACACAUUUUUUGUUGCCUAUCAGAGUGG